rnacentral:misc_RNA from 1 species
UAAAAGUCGUAACAAGGUUUCCGUAGGUGAACCUGCGGAAGAUCAUUAAAAAUGAGACCUGAUUCAAGGUCUAUUAAUAAUCCUACCCUUUGUGAAUUUGUUUUGUUUAAUAUGUGUCUUUCCUGUUUGUUUGAGCUUGUUUAAAAGUUCAACUUCAGGGAAUGGCAAAACUUUUUUUAAAAUUAAACUUUUGUAUUCAUUUGUCUAAAAUUAUUUUAUAAUAUAAAAACAACUUUGACAAUGGAUCUCUUGGUUCUCGCAACGAUGAAGAACGCAGCAAAAUGCGAUAAGUAGUGUGAUUGCAGAAUACGUGAAUCAUCGAAUCUUCGAACGCAUAUUGCACUUUUUGGUUUACCAAAAAAGUAUGUCUGUUUGAGUAUCAGUAAAAUAUUCUCAUAAAACUAUUUGUUUUAUGGUUAUGAGUGUUUACAACGAUAAACAAGUUGUUCACUUUAAAUUCUUGUCUUUUAAAAAUCAUUAAAACUGAUUUUUUUUAAAAUUGGAUAAAAUUUUCCCGUAAAAAGGAAUAACCUAAACAAUUUAAUUAAAUUGGUUUGAUUUCUUUUAAGACUUUAAAGGAAAAAAAAGUAAAAAUUAACUUGAUCUCAAAUCAGAUAAGAGUACCGCUGAACUUAAGCAUAUCAAUAAGCGGAGGAAAAGAAACUAACUAGGAUUCCUCAGUAACGGCGAGUAAGCGGGAAGAGCUCAAAUCUGAAAUCUUCAAGUUCUACCUUGACGAAUGUGUUUAAGAAGUGUUUUCUGUUGAGUUUUGGUAAAAGUUCUUUGAAUAGGACAUCAUAGAGGUGAGAUCCCGUAUUUGACCAUUAUUUCCAACUUGUGAUACACUUUCAAAGAGUCGGAUUGUUGGAAUGCAGUCCAAAAUGGUGGUAAUUUCAUCUAAAGCUAAAUACUGGCGAGAGACCGAUAGCGAACAAGUACCUGAGGAAAGAUGAAAGAACUUUGAAAGAGAGUUAAACAGUACGUGAAAUUGUCAAAGGGAAGCGUUUGACACCAGUGUUGUUUCUCGAAAAUCAAUUAAAAUGGCGGAUUUUGUGUUGUAUUGACUUUAUCAGCUUUCUCACUUUUUUCCUGUCUUUUUUAAUGCACUUUUCGUUUAACAAGUCAACAUCAAUUUCUUUUGUUGUAAAAGGGUCAUUGGAAGGUGGCUUCUUUUCGGAGAAAGUGUUUAUAGCCUUUGGCCUCUGCAAUCGGAGAGAUUGAGUCUGCAGCGUAGAUCCUUCGGGUUAGAUGCAUUUGUGCUAAGCUAUAGCCUUCAUAGACAACUUGUUGACUAUGAUCAGUCAUGUAGCUUACUCGCUUAUGUCAUUUACUACGCUUAGGAUGUUGA